CCUGUGAUAGCUCAGCUGGUUAGAGCAUGGUGCUGAUAACUCCAAGGUUGCAGGUUUGAUCCUCAUAUGGGA
rnacentral:tRNA from 1 species